rnacentral:rRNA from 1 species
GACAGAGGGUGCGAACGUUGUUCGGAAUUACUGGGCGUAAAGCGCGUGUAGGCAGCGCGGCAAGUCGGAUGUGAAAGCCCUGGGCUCAACCCAGGAAGUGCAUUCGAUACUGCCGUGCUGGAGUCCCGGAGAGGAUGGUGGAACUCUCGGUGUAGAGGUGAAAUUCGUAGAUAUCGAGAAGAACACCGGUGGCGAAGGCGGCCAUCUGGACGGUGACUGACGCUGAGACGCGAAAGCGUGGGGAGCAAACAGG